AUUGAACGCUGGCGGCAGGCCUAACACAUGCAAGUCGAGCGGCAGCGGGAAAGUAGCUUGCUACUUUUGCCGGCGAGCGGCGGACGGGUGAGUAAUGCCUGGGGAUCUGCCCAGUCGAGGGGGAUAACUACUGGAAACGGUAGCUAAUACCGCAUACGCUCUACGGGGGAAAGCAGGGGACCUUCGGGCCUUGCGCGAGUGGAUGAACCAAGAUGGGAUUAGCUAGUUGGUGAGAUAAUGGCUUACCAAGGAGACGAUCCCUAGCUGGUCUGAGAGGAUGCUCAGCCACACUGGAACUGAGACACGGUCCAGACUCCUACGGGAGGCAGCAGUGGGGAAUAUUGCACAAUGGGGGAAACCCUGAUGCAGCCAUGCCGCGUGUGUGAAGAAGGCCUUCGGGUUGUAAAGCACUUUCAGCGAGGAGGAAAGGUUGGUAGCUAAUAACUGCCAGCUGUGACGUUACUCGCAGAAGAAGCACCGGCUAACUCCGUGCCAGCCGCCGCCGUAAAAC
rnacentral:rRNA from 1 species